GAUGAACGCUGGCGGCGUGCCUAACACAUGCAAGUCGAGCGAGAUAAAUGUGAGUGGAGACUUCGGUCAAAGCAAUCAUUUUGAAAGCGGCGGACGGGUGAGUAACGCGUGAGCAAUCUGCCCCAUACAAAGGGAUACCCACUGGAAACGGUGAUUAAUACCUUAUAAGACCACGAAGUCGCCUGGCUUAGUGGCCAAAGAUUUUAUCGGUAUAGGAUGAGCUCGCGUCUGAUUAGCUAGUUGGUGAGGUAAUGGCUCACCAAGGCGACGAUCAGUAGCCGACCUGAGAGGGUGAACGGCCACACUGGAACUGAGCCGCGGUCCAGACUCCUACGGGAGGCAGCAGUGGGGAAUAUUGCACAAUGGGCGCAAGCCUGAUGCGGCAACGCCGCGUGAAUGAUGAAGGCCUUCGGGUCGUAAAGUUCUGUCCUAAGGGAAGAAUACAGUGACGGUACCUUAGGAGGAAGCCCCGGCUAACUACGUGCCAGCCGCCGCAGUAAUAC
rnacentral:rRNA from 1 species